UUCAGCGCUAAUUCGCAUCAUCAUCAGGUUCGGAGGGCGGCGUCUGGAAAACCGAAGACCCAGAAAGAUUGAAAAUUUCUAGAUCCACGAGAGAGAGAGAGAGAGAGAGAGAGAGAGAGAGAAGAAGGAUCGAUGAUCUGCGAGCAGCAAUUUGAUAUGAAAUUCAGAUUGAAAACUACAAUUAAAACAUCAUGAAAUUAUCGAAUUCAGGUUUUCGACUCCACAUGUUUCAUUAAAUGCCGCUUCAAGCGAAUUACAGAGCCUUCUUUUGCUCUUCUCCGGUUCCCGAACGGACAGCCCUCUUGAUAAAUGCGAGAUGCUAAAGUCGUUUAUAUAAGUAGGGUUUGUCUUUCACUUUUUCUUUUUCGGGGGAGAAGGGCUUCAAGUUUGAUAUAUUGACAAAUGGACUCCCAUAUAUUUGGAGUUGUAAUUUCAUUGCUAGGUCUAGGCAUUGAGUUGGUUUGAACCUAACUCGAGCCAACCCACUAACAGUUUUCAGUUUGACAUGACUUUUAGAAGUCAAAAGGAAUUUUUGAUAUUCAAAAGCUAUUUUUAUACUCGAUUGACUAAUUUUAUAAAUAUAAUUCUUGGGUAAAAUGAUUUUAGAUGAAAUUUAUCCAUUAUGACAUUUUCUAGAAGCACUUUUAGAAUAUGAAACCCCUCUAAAAAUUAAUUUAAAAAAAAAAAAAGAAAAAAUAUAUAAUAUAAAACCCAGGUUUUCAGAAAAAAAACAGUAAAAAUAAUUAUUGAAUUAAAAUUGAAUCAUAAAAGGCAAUCCCAAAUCUAUACCACUCCUGUGUUGGUUGAUAACGUAAAUAAUUAUUGAACUUGUAAAACAUAAAAAUUCUUAAAAACUGAAGCUUUUCACGAAAAAAAAGGGAAGAUGCAAAACAAAUGUUAAAGAAAGAAAAAUCAUAAACGUGGUCCGUCCAAUUAUGAUAAUAUUGAACCUUCAGCGCUAAUUCGCAUCAUCAUCAGGUUCGGAGGGCGGCGUCUGGAAAACCGAAGACCCAGAAAGAUUGAAAAUUUCUAGAUCCACGAGAGAGAGAGAGAGAGAGAGAGAGAGAGAGAGAGAGAGAAGAAGGAUCGAUGAUCUGCGAGCAGCAAUUUGAUAUGAAAUUCAGAUUGAAAACUACAAUUAAAACAUCAUGAAAUUAUCGAAUUCAGGUUUUCGACUCCACAUGUUUCAUUAAAUGCCGCUUCAAGCGAAUUACAGAGCCUUCUUUUGCUCUUCUCCGGUUCCCAAACGGAC
rnacentral:lncRNA from 1 species